GGCAGUGUAGCAUAGUGGUUAAGGAGUAGGACUUGUAACCGUAAGGUUGCUGGUUUAAUUCCCCACCAGGGCACUGCUG